AGUGAACGCUGGCGGUAGGCCUAACACAUGCAAGUCGAACGGCAGCACAGUAAGAGCUUGCUCUUACGGGUGGCGAGUGGCGGACGGGUGAGGAAUACAUCGGAAUCUACUUUUUCGUGGGGGAUAACGUAGGGAAACUUACGCUAAUACCGCAUACGACCUACGGGUGAAAGCAGGGGAUCUUCGGACCUUGCGCGAUUGAAUGAGCCGAUGUCGGAUUAGCUAGUUGGCGGGGUAAAGGCCCACCAAGGCGACGAUCCGUAGCUGGUCUGAGAGGAUGAUCAGCCACACUGGAACUGAGACACGGGCCAGGCUCCUAGGGGAGGCAGCAGGGGGGAAUAUGGGACAAGGGGCGCAAGCCUGAUCCAGCCAUACCGCGGGGGUGAAGAAGGCCUUCGGGUUGGAAAGCCCUUUUGUUGGGAAAGAAAAGCAGCAGGUUAAUACCCCGCUGUUCUGACGGUACCCAAAGAAUAAGCACCGGCUAACUUCGUG
rnacentral:rRNA from 1 species